AAGCACGUGGCAGCAGCAGCACGCUGGGUAGUUCAUGGUGGCAGGCUGUGUUUUUAAAGUCUGUGUCACCAGGCAAGGGGAUGCAGUGGAAAGGAUUGUAAGAUUUUGGCAGAGGCAGAGAAAUCUUGAGGAUGGAUCUCUUCUCCCACUGCUGCAUUGCAGAGGCCAGAGAAACACAGUAAAGCUCUGAAUGAAAUGGGUAAUUCCAUUUUUUAUCUAGGAGAACACCAUGAACAGCUUAAAGGGGCAGAAGUGCAGCAGUUUGGCCAAGCUAUUCCAGAAGCUCCAGUUACAGUUUACCCACAUUUCUCCUGGCAGGGCCUGAGCAUCCUAUGAAAAGGAAAACCUCACCAAUAACUUACAAAAAUGAACUCAACAUCCAGAUGUGGGCACAGGAUCCACCAGCACUCCCCUAAGCCAGCAGGGAUCCUUGUAUCAUAAAAAUAGAAUCACAUUUCAGGCUUGCCUCUAUUACACAGCAGCAGUUCCUGUUGAGAGCAUCACCAGGCAUCCAGCUCAGGGAUUUCAAAAGAAAAAAUCCUCAGUGGCACUGAUUAAUGGGAAGGCCUGGAUGUACUGGUGGAUCUGGAAAGCAUCUCGUAAUCUUUGACAGACAAGAUGUUUCUUAUUCUGAUGGGAUUCGAUCAUUGUUUAUGAAAUUAUGUGAGUGACAUAGCAUCACUGUUAUUUUUAUCCUGGCAUUACAGCUGGUCUAAUAAUUUGGAUAAUAAAGUUACUUAUUUUGGCAAUAAAUCAUCAUAUGUAUCCAGA